AGCAGUAUGGUGUAUGGUUGCACACGGGGCUUCUCUGCUUUUUCGCUUUAAGCAUUUGAUGGGUAACCCCGAGAACCUUGUUCGAAUCAAGGUGCUGCUC